CGGAUAAUGUACUUGAAAUUUGAGUAGUUUUACGUAAUUAUAAAGUUAAGUGCGUAAGUUUAAGUAGCGCGUUUGAGUAAGUGUAGGAUUGGCUAUUUCCUCUAUUGCUAAUACAUGAAUCUAGAUGAGUAAUGUACGCACGUUAUGUACGUCACUACAAGAUAUCAUGUAACUGAUGUAAGGUAUAAAUAAGAUUGAUGUUCCUAUAAAAUAUAUAGCAUAGGAAUUUUCAUCCUUUUAUGUUCUACUUCUACAAUUCGGUAUUUUUACGACACCUGUACAACAUGACUGAAUGCAUUGUGGAAUCACUAUUAUCCCGCUCAUUUGGAUUGAGACCUUUUUCCGAGAAACGAGAGAUCGUCGAAGGUGGCCUUCCAAUCCUGAGUUGCAAGGACUACAUACAACAUCCAAGCGAAGUGGUAAAGUCUUUAUUCGAAGUUUUCAGACGUCAAAUUACGACAAGUACAAAUGGCUGGCUGGCUCCUCAAAAUUGAAUAAGUUAUUUUGCUGGCAGUGUCUUUUGUUCAACUCAACAGACAAGACAGUCUGGUGCAAGAAGGGAUACGAUGAUUUGGCCAACCUGUGUAAUGCCGUCAACAGACACGAGAAAACGAAGACACACUUGUCCAGUUGCCUAAUGAAUGCCAGUUUUGGGCGUACACGCAUCGACAUGCAGCUAGACGAACAGGCCCGUCAACACAUCUCAGCUCACAACUUGAUGGUGCACAAGAGUAGAGAAGUACUUCGCCGUUUCAUUGAUGUUGUUUGCUUUCUUGGCAAACGGGAACUUUCUUUCAGAGGUCGGGUGGAGCUGGAGGAGUCUGCCAACAGGGGCAAUUACGUCGAAUUGAUAAAACUGCUAAGUGCAUAUGACCCCACACUACAAUAGAAAUGCACGCGUAGCCAUUUACUUAAAACGACUUUAUAUCACAAUACCACAUCUAAUACUUUUAAACUGUAAUUGUGAUAUAUACUCUAUAAAAGUUUUUGAAUUUUUUAGAUUUUUUCAAUACUGUUUCAGUCAUGACAGAUACAUUUUUUCGACAAAGUACUCCCAGAAAUCGCGGGAAAUGCGCUCCAGUAGCCUUCAAAAUCCAAAAAUUUUCUGGGGGAGCAUGCCCCCAGAACCCCUAGAUAGCUUCGCGGUAUGCCGGGAACCUCACCCCCAGCGCUUGCCUAUUAAAUUCGGUCACCGCACGCCACUGUUCGUUGGGAUUGUAUUCGAGUAAGGCAGAAUUAUAUUUGUUUUUGUCAAAAACACGUUUGAGAUAGUUUUUUUCCUUGUGUAGAGCGUCUGGUGAAUCACAUAUGAUUUUUGCACGUCUUGUUAAUUAUCUGAUUGUGGUGGCUUUGUGUGAUGUGGGUUGUAAGAGGAUUGGUACUAAUUGAUUUGCAAUAAACUGUUGUUGGUAGUUUUUGACUGUCACGUUUUACCAAACAGUCGAGAAAAGGAAGAAAUCCGUUUUCUUUGACCAGCAGAUGACUGAUACGAGCACGGGUUAACGACUUUCACAGACGAAUCAACUAUUACAUCGAGCAACAAGAACCAAGAUUGAACAAACUGAAAGAACUCAUACCAACGACAGUUUCGUUACGUAGAUGAGACAACCACAGCACUACAUGCAGACGAGAUUGAUUACUUUCACCCUCAAAUCAACGAACAUAACAGCUACAUAUAUUUAAC